GCGGGGAUAGUUCAGUUGGGAGAACGUCAGACUGAAGCGAUAACUUCAUUCAUCAAAUCUGAAGGCCGUGUGUUCGAUCCACACUCACCGCA
rnacentral:tRNA from 1 species